rnacentral:rRNA from 1 species
UGUAGUCUUUUUACUGCUCUGGGUGUAUUGUUCUCAAUCUUGGAGGCUAAAUAGCAUAAGUUGGGCUGGGCCUGGUUUGUACUAGGAUGGAGAACCACCUGGGAAUACCAGGUGCUGUGGCUAAAC